GUGUAUGGCCAUACCACCCUGAACGUGCCCGAUCUCCUCUGAUCUUGGAAGCUAAGCAGGGUUGGGCCUGGUUAGUACUCGGAUGGGAGACCGCCUGGGAAUACUGGAUGCUAUAGGCU
rnacentral:rRNA from 1 species